rnacentral:rRNA from 1 species
CGGCAACAGCUCAAAUUUAAAAUCUGGCCUCUUCGGGGCCCGAGUUGUAAUUUGUAGAGGAUGUUUUGGGUACCGCACCGGUUUAAAUUUCUUGGAACAGGACGUCAUAGAGGGUGAGAAUCCCGUAUGUGACUGGCUGCCUUCGCCUAUGUGAAGCUCUUUCGAC